AGUGCAAUAAGGGAUUGUAAAUAAUUCCUGAGUAAUGUUUGAAAUAGCUAUAAACAGUUCCCUAGAUAGUAUUUACAAUGCCUGCAUUA
rnacentral:pre_miRNA from 1 species